AGUUGAUCAAAGAACUCGCACAUUGUUAACACAAUUAUUACAAUUAACAAGUGGUUAAGUGAAAUUAAUUAAUAUAAAAAUUUUAAUCAUGGCGAAUUUAUAUUGUAUUAUUACAGUUAUACUUUUAAUAACAUCCAUUAUCACAGAAAAUGAAUGUAAUGCCAUUUAUGAUCAAAAAUGCACGACCAAAAAUAGUCCGUGCACUAACGAUAGCGAGUGCUGCAGAAAUUUGAAAUGCACAAGAUACGCUACGGAAUUUCGAUCCUCCUGUAAACGAUCAACAUUGGCGAUACCUAAUAUAGGAUAAUAAUAAUAAUGAUUACUUAUAAAAUUAAUAAACAAUUUAAAAUUAACGAAUUGUUUAAAUAUUAAAUUGUUAUAAAAAAACUUUUAAAUAUUUAAAGCAACGAUUAAAUGAAUUAUAAAACAAGUUUUCAAAUUGAAUUUAUAAUAAAUAUGAAUAAUGACCAAUACGCGCAGUUAAAUUGAUUACAAUCACAAAACCUGAUGUUUACAAUAAUAAUUAUUAUUGCAAACACAUCUGCAGUGAGUCAUACAAUGACGAAUCAUUCAGCUUCAUUGAUACUCACUUUAAUCGGUAAUUGCUGUAUAUCAAUUAUACUAUACAUGUAUAAGAAGACACGUGACAAAUAAUUGCUACUAAAAUGCUCAUUUUAUUUUUGUAUAAAUUAUUAAAUAUUUACUUUUUACUGAUUGAUAGCCAGUUACUUUUGCUUACGAGCUUAUUAACUUAACAAUGUCUAUUAUAAUUUAAUAAUUUACUUAUUAUUUAUAAUACGUAACAAAUUGCUGAUUAUAAUGAUUUAUGGUACUCAUAGUUCAGACAUCAAGUCACAUUGUUACACCUUGAAAUAUGUGGGUGCGUUCGUAGUUCACGAUUGUAAAAAAAGAAACAUUAUGAAA